rnacentral:rRNA from 1 species
AUGGCCCCCACCGAUCAGCCGCCGGGCCCUCCAAAAUCGGCAGCCUAUCAGAAAAUUUUGAACCCGAAAAAGCUCUCGAGCUUUUCCCUGUUCUUCUCACCCCACCAUGCCACGGCAUUGUCUCAAGCCGUCCUCGUCAUCGGCGUCGUCCUUGUGUCCUUGGUUGCGCAGGAACUGCCGCAUCGCGGCGAGGCCCGGCCCGCGCACGUCACGAUGCCAGGCCGCGGCCUCGGCGUCGCGCCCGGCGCCCGCGAGCCGCGCGAGGACGGUGCCGCUGGCGUCGAGGCGCCGAACGGGCCAGCCCCAGCCGUCUGCCAUGCGCCGGAUCUUGCCGACCUGCGCUGCCGCGAGCACCCGCGUGUUCGCCUUGAUCUCGUCUACUGCGGCUGCGAGGCUCUUGCGCCCGGCGAGGUAGUCCCCGAUCUCCGGCACGCCGAUGGCCUUGCGCAGCCCGGCGUGCGAGGCCCGCUCGGACGCCGACGUUGUCGCGAAGUACUGACGGAGCUCCUCGACCAUGCCCUCACCCAGCAUGUCGUCGACACGCCGAUCGAGGUAUUCGUCCAGAACUGCCUCGUCGACAUCGACCCAGAGGAGACAGCACGGGAACCUGAGCGCCGGCCGGUAUCCAGUCGCCGCAGCGGCGAAAGGGUCCCGAGGGGCGUGGACAUCAAAUCGCUUGGUGAGGAAGGCGUGGAUGAGGGAGUUGGACCCGCCGGCCACCACUGGCACGCGCCCGCGCGCCGCGAUGUCGGCCGCCUUGGCGGCGGCGAGCGAGCGGAAGGACGAGGCGGGGAGCUCGCCGGCAUCGGCGCGGACGGCGCCGAGGAGGUGGUGGGCGACGCCGCGGCGGUCGGCGGGCAUCACCUUGUUGGUGGUGACGUCGAGGCCCCGGUAAAGCUGGAUCUUGUCGGCGUUCACCACCUCGCCACCGAGCUCUAG